ACUCCUACGGGAGGCAGCAGUGGGGAACUAUUGCACAAUGGGCGCAAGCCUGAUGCAGCCAUGCCGCGUGUGUGAAGAAGGCCUUCGGGUUGUAAAGCACUUUCAGUUGUGAGGAAGGUAGGUGUCCGUUAAUAGCGGCAUCAUUUGACGUUAGUCAAACAGAAGAAGCACCGGCUAACCUCCGUGCCAGCAGCCGCGGUAAUACGGAGGGUGCGAGCGUUAAUCGGUAAUUACUGGGCGUAAAGCGCAUGCAGGUGGUUUGUUAAGUCAGAUGUGAAAGCCCGGGGGCUCAACCUCGGAACUGCAUUUGAAACUGGCAGACUAGAGUACUGUAGAGGGGGGUAGAAUUUCAGGUGU
rnacentral:rRNA from 1 species